CUUAUUAAUUUUGAUCUCUUGAUUUCUGGUUUUUUUUUGUAUAACAGUGGAAAACAGUACAGAAAAAAGUAGUCAUGGCAAAAGUACACAUGUCACUAAUGCAGCAGUUUGAGUAUUGAGGCAGACUCAUUGUUUUAUAAUAAACCGGUUAGACAAACAUGUCUAAGCAUGAUGCAAAACAAUAUUUAAUUAUGUCUCAUUCCCUCCCAACACCUUCAUUCAUCUGUCUCAUUCCAUUAGUGUCCCCAUGUGUCUCAUCACCCCUCCCAGCCCCUCACAUGUCUCAUUCCUCCAGCACCUCCAUUGAUA